CCAACCGCCCCGCCCCGCCCCUCGCUCCGUCCCAACGGCUCGGCCAACGGCACCGCCGUGUCCCAACGGCUCCUCUGCCCGCCAGGCCGCCCCCCAGGGAGGCUCGGGAUUGCUGAGCCGGCGAGCUGCCGCCCCUGGCUCCCCACACGGGCACAGGGACCGGGAGCGAGGAGGGAGAGUCCUCGUGCCCUGCCCUGUGUUCAAGUGAGUGAGGGGAAGACUUCAUACCCCCUGCACAGCUGUGGGGAGCAACAGGACUUCCCUGUUCCUGGGCUGCAAGUAGGACCUGCGUCUUGGAUGCUUGGAGGACUGCAAGUUGGGCAGGGGCAGGGCGACUGGAGUUGAGCAGGGCCCUGAGGCAGCCCUCAGGGGAGGUGGGGCUGCUUGGGAAGUGUGGGGAGCAGAGCGUGGCUUUGUAGAGGAUGGUGGACAGGGACGGUCUUGGCUCCGGCAGGCCUGGAUGACCCUGGACAGCCCAUCCCGCCCUGCUGCCCGUGGCAGAUCUACUAUGAAGCCAACUGUGCAGUGGCACGGGCCCCCAAUGACAGGGAGCCCCAAAGUGCAGGAUUCAUCUGGGUCCCAAGAGGGGGCCCUGAAAACGAAGCUGUGCACAGGGCCCCACUAACUCUAAAUCUGCCACUGCUUGCUGCUCUGCGAUUCCUGCCGCGCUGAGGGAACCUUGUAAAGCAGGAAGAUGUUAGAAAUACAAUAGCUGAAUUUGUCACAGCUCAGAAGACAGUGAAAUGGUAAUCAAAUAAGUACAGAACAAGCUUGUUCUGGAAGAAAUUGGAAAGGCUAAAUAGCUUCCUGCAGAUGUGGAGACAGAGCAUUGCAUGCUGGGAGCUGUAGUCUCUUCAGGCCACCUCUCCAUAUUAAAAAUUGAAAGUAGCUGCAAUGUGCUUUGUUGUGCAAAAAAUAUACAGCUUUUGGCAAACUUGAGUAAAGGAAGGAGUAACAUGGUAUUUAUUGACUUAGUACAACCCUGCUUCCUUACAAAGGGCAUCACAAAAAAGUGGACUUCUUGUGAAAUUAAGCCGCCGAUGUACAAAAGCAGAGAAUAUCAAGAUAUUUCAUUUCAAAAUAGAAAACUAAAAAAAAAAAAGAUCAGGGAACAUUGGUGGGAAAAGAGAAACAAAAGCAAUAUUGGGAAAAGACAUGAGAAAUGAGAAUGCUGAAAGAUAAAUCAGCAUGUCCUCCUGGGUCAUGCAAAAACCAUCUGGCUUUAAAGCUUAUAGCUGUAGAAACGAGAAAAAAAAUCAUAUGAUAAAGCAGGGAAAUGCAAAGGGGGAAAAAAACCCUGAAGGUAGGAACAGGGCAGACAUUGCAAAAGAACAAGUUGUUUUUCAUAACAGAAGAUAAGUAUUUCUUCAUAUUAUUAUUGUUACCAUUGUUUUAAUGAGAUACUUAUAUGGCUAUUGAGAAUGUAUUAAAUACCAUGCAGCGUUUCAAGAAAACUCUAUAAAUGUGCAAAGUAUUGGGAAGAUUUUUUAAAAGUGUAUUUAAAUGAGUAUUUAAAAAACAAAUCAGUAACUUGUGAAAAUGAUGAGAUUCAUCAACGGUAGAGAGAAAUAAUAAGAGAUCCUUUAAAUAUAUAUGUGCGCGCCGGGUCUGACCCCGGGUCGCUUUCGUCGCUCUGCACGCGGGCUGUGGCCGGCAGCCCGGGCAGGCCGGGUUGGAGAGGGCGGGCGCCGAGCUAGAAUUAGGCACAGACACGUAACUGUUGAUUUUAAGAUUAUUUUACUUACACCGAGAUGGUCGUGGUGUAGGCUGAGAACUUGCUUGAGUUGCGGUUACAACAAAAAACACGAACACACGUGGAGGUUGCAAGGCUCCACGCAGACAGAACACGAACAAUCACGUGGAGCUUGCUAGGCUCCACGCAGACAAACUCCGGAUGUCCAGGACAAGCGCGCAUAAAACUCGUCGUUACAUCUUAUAGUAGGCUCCGUUCGAAGACGGGAAGAGGUGGGCAGUGGAUCAGGCCGCCAAACUCCUCUGAGCGACACACAGGGUUUCUAUUACCCUGCCGCGCACACCCAGAGUCCCCACGAGAUGGAUGCAGAGUCCUCUUCGGCUUGGGCGGAAACUGCUCAAGCCUCUUAUAUGGCUAGCAGGCCAAUCGCUAGCCGCCACGUGUGACUAAUUUAGAACUAGCCAAUUGCGGGGCACAAAUUUGCAUACGACGAGCGGGAACUCUUUGCACCAUGCAUUUCUGUGUUGCAAAGGAAAUGCACCCUGCAAAGGUCGCUGCAAAGUGGCGGGAACGCUCCUUUGCACGUGGGUUCUCUGCGCAGCAGAACUCCUCCGUGCAACGAAGUUGCAAACCCACAGGGAUAAUUCUUAGUGCCGAAGCACACACAAAAAAAAUCAGACCUUUGGGUCAUGACAAUAUAAAGGCCAGUAAUGUUGGGGUCAAUAAUGUUUCUCCAAGGAAUAGAUAAAAAUAUACUGAUAGGGGAGAAUCAAACUUUCCAGAACAACCAAACGAUUCAUUUUAAUGGCUGCUGAUUCUAAACGAUUGCCUACCAGCUACUCACUGGGCACAUCUACACAAGACGCUAUGUUGCCAUAACAAGAAGCUACAGCAACUUAACAUUGGUGGACACUAACCAUGUCACCGCUACUGCACUACUGUCAUUUCACUUCUAAAACAGAGCAGUAUUACUUCCCUUAUAGGAUAAGAAAUUUUAAUUGUUUUAAUCAACAAUGAGCUUCGUGUGUUUUGAAUCGUCUUUUAAUACUUGUCUUUUAAUAAUCAUGGAGAUUAGACAAACACCUGGCUGGGGUUACUUGACCCCAGCACUCUUUCCUGCCCAUAGCAGGGUUUGGACUCAAUGAUCUAAUAGAUCCCUUCCAACCCUAGAAAUCUAUGAAAAUAUGUUAGUGUCUUUAAAUUUUGAAGAGAUUUUUUAAUAAAAAAAAUGUUAAGACAAUUAUAUUCACUUUUUUUAGAAUUUUUUGCCUUUGUGUGUCCUUGCAUAUAAAGAGCCCUUAAGACCAAUAGCUCUUACAGUCAAAAACAGUCUAGAAAAUUAGCAAGCAUAUUUUGUUUACACUCUUAUUGUAGCAUGCAACUUAUUCCUUCAAUGUAUGUCUAAUUUCAGCUGAGUAGAAGCCUUGAUUUCAUUUAUUUGUAAUUGAUUGUGAUGAUGAUGAUGUUUUGAAAGCUAAAAAUAAGAAGGUAAGAAUUAUUUUAAGUUUCCAAAUGAUUUUUAACUGAAGGCUUUAUCUGGCAAUGGGACAAUUCAUAGUAGUAAGCACUAUGCCACAGAGUAAGUAUUUGCUGGAUCACCGCCUAACAGUAGAUAGAAUAUAAGAGGUUAAGGAAAGGCCUGAAUUAUUGGCAGUCAUUAACAUUACAUGGCACACUUCACAACAGUGGUAAUACAGAUAUAAAUUUAAAUUGAGGAGUUGUACUGUACCUAAAAAUCACUGUAAUUUUAUGCCUAUUGUUAUGUCAUAUCUGAAUUGAUGGAGCUUCAUGGAACUUGGGGUAGUUGCCUCAGUUGAUGCCAUCAGAAAAAUCAUCUCUCUUUUAUUAAACAUUUAAAAAUUUAUUUUGUGCCGUUUUAAGGGCUUUUUCCAUUUUUUCCAGAGGUCAUUAGAUUUCCACGAUCAAUUAAUCGAUGGGGGGGCUAACUUUUUUUGGCAGGCAUGCCACAAGAUAGCCCCAUACCCUCUUGGAGGGUCACUCUGAUCCCUUUCCCCUACCUGGAUCCAUUGCUGUACUUCCCACCUUUCUGCUGCAGUGUUGCUUAUCUCUUCCCUGAUCUGCCACAUGCUACACAGAGAUGGGCUAUGCUAUGUGUGGCAUGCAUGCCACAGUUUGGCCACCCCUGAAUUAAGUGAUCCCCUCAUAUCUGUAAAGCUUGCAGAGCAUUGAGGUCUCUGGAUGAAUGGCAUUAUAUUUAUAUGGAUCCAGCCUUGCAAACACUGAAUCAUACAUCUCCUUAUAAACAUAGAGCUAUUGAUUUUAAUGUGCUACAGUUCAGCAUGGAUGUAAAGGCUUGUAGGAUUAGGGCCGGCAAGACAUUAGUUGUUGAUACCAUGUGAAUGCAAAAUAUACAGCAGUUUCUAUGUCAGUGCAUAAUUACAGCUCAUUUGGCAGUAGGGUGUGUUCAGUGUUGCAAGCAAUUGUGACAGAGUGACUAAGCAACUAUUACAUCAUUACAAAUUAAGUCUACAUUGUGUUUGGGUAUUUGGGAAUUUCUUAUGAAUAGGAAACACUGAAAAAAAAGGAUGAUUUAGCACAGCUUUGUCCUAGAAACAGCACUAAAUGGUUGUUCUCUUAGCACAGUAUGGUUAGAAAAGAAGAGUGUUUACUUGAUAGAAAGGCCUUGCAAGGAUUGUUCUCAUAAGAAUUGCAAUAGCUUCAUCUUCACCAUUUUAUAGAAACCUUGGAAAAGUAGGGGUUGGCUUACUGUUUAGGUAUAAGGGGUAACAACUUCCACAUAGAGGUGCACCAAUAUAUUGGUGCCAUAUUGGAUCGGCACUGAUAAAAGGAAAAUUAAUAUUAUUGGCUAUCAGCUUUUUUUUGCCAGUGUAGCUGAUAAUAUACCAAUAAAUAUAUCUUCUGGCUGCGGCCCUGGAUGCCGUGUGCAUGUGCACCGCUGCAGUAUGCGCGUGGCCAGGAAUGAAGCGGGGCAGCAUGGAGAGCAGCACCCUGCAGGUAAGUCUGUGGAAGGAAAGGGGCUUGAGGGGACAGAUCAAGGUCUCCAGUGAGGGAGGGAGUGGGGCAAAGGCAGGGGAUGGAGCUGAGUGGGGUACUGCACAGCCAGGGUGGUGAAUGGGACCCCAGGGCUGGGACAGGGAGCGGGACAGAGCUGUGGGCAGUUCAUCCAGAGGGCAAAGUGGGGACAGUGUGCUGCUGCUGUGUGCACCCCUGGGAGAGGCAUGGGAGGCAUGUGCCCCCCCCCCCCAAUUUGUGCAUGC